rnacentral:rRNA from 1 species
CGGGGUGGAGUAAUGUCUGGGAAACUGCCUGAUGGAGGGGGAUAACUGCUGGAAACGGUAGCUAAUACCGCAUAACGUCGCAAGACCAAAGAGGGGGACCUUCGGGCCUCUUGCCAUCGGAUGUGCCCAGAUGGGAUUAGCUAGUAGGUGGGGUAACGGCUCACCUAGGUGACGAUCCCUAGCUGGUCUGAGAGGAUGACCAGCCACACUGGAACUGAGACACGGUCCAG